rnacentral:rRNA from 1 species
AACGGUAACGUGGGGAGGAGCUUGCUCCACCCUGACGACGAGUGGCGAACGGGUGAGUAAUACAUCGGAACGUGUCCGCUCGUGGGGGACAACCAGCCGAAAGGUUGGCUAAUACCGCAUGAGUUCUACGGAAGAAAGAGGGGGACCCGCAAGGGCCUCUCGCGAGCGGAGCGGCCGAUGACUGAUUAGCCAGUUGGUGAGGUAACGGCUCACCAAAGCAACGAUCAGUAGCUGGUCUGAGAGGACGACCAGCCACACUGGGACUGAGACACGGCCCAGACUCCUACGGGAGGCAGCAGUGGGGAAUUUUGGACAAUGGGCGCAAGCCUGAUCCAGCUAUUCCGCGUGUGGGAUGAAGGCCCUCGGGUUGUAAACCACUUUUGUAGAGAACGAAAAGACAUCUUCGAAUAAAGGAUGUUGCUGACGGUACUCUAAGAAUAAGCACCGGCUAACUACGUGCCAGCAGCCGCGGUAAUACGUAGGGUGCGAGCGUUAAUCGGAAUUACUGGGCGUAAAGGGUGCGCAGGCGGUUGAGUAAGACAGACGUGAAAUCCCCGAGCUUAACUCGGGAAUGGCAUAUGUGACUGCUCGACUAGAGUGUGUCAGAGGGAGGUGGAAUUCCACGUGUAGCAGUGAAAUGCGUAGAUAUGUGGAAGAACACCGAUGGCGAA